rnacentral:lncRNA from 1 species
CCAACCUCAGAAGGGUUUUCAGUAUAGCUAUUAUUUUAUUUUAGAAAAUAUUCCCAUGAACAAACAUAAAAAGUAUCUGAGCAGCGAAUAGCCUGGUUUUUAAAUACCUUCAAGAAUAGACCCAUAUUCUAAUUGAAACAUUGUAUCUCAAUACUAAGCUCAAACUCCUCAGUCUUUUGGAAAUCCUAGAUCUCUGAAGAGCUCUUAAAAUAGUGGGCUGGGGAGAUGGCUCAGCAGUUAAGAGCACUGGCUGCUCUUACAGAGGACCUGAGUUUGAUUCCCAGCAUCCACAUGGUGACUCACAAUCAUCUGUAACUCCGGCCCCAGGGAUCCAACAUCUUCUUCUGGCCUCCAUGUUACAUAGACACACAUUCAAGCAAAAUCUUCAGACACAUUAAUUUUUUAAAUAAAAAGUUCAACUACAGACUGAAGAAUCUGACUUUUUUUUUUAAUUUGAAGAAAAUUUGACCUUAAUGUACAUUUUUUUCUUUUUUCCCAGCUUUCUGAGUUUUUCUCUCUGUGUGUGUCUGCUGUAUGCACAUGCAAACAUGCAUAUGAUGUGUGCAUAUGUUUUUAUGUUUGUGUGUAUGUAUACAUUUCAAACAAAGGUUGAAAGAACUUUUCAGAGAUAUCACUCGCUGUAUGAAUAAAUAUUAGUUCAAUAUAUCUAUGUUAAAUAUAAGAGGGAGUGUGGAGAAAAAGAAUUGAAUUUUGUUCUUUUGAAUGUUUCUAUUCUUUCUAACUACAUUUGUGUCGGGGAGACGUGUGCAUGUGGGUGGAGGGGCUCUGGCCCUGGACCUACAGUUCCAGGUGAUUGUGGGCAUGAACUCAAGCGCUCUGCAAGAGCAGUGCAUGCUCUUAGCCACUGAACCGUCGUUCCAGACCUAUGAAUUUUACUCAUUAAGAAGGAGAACACUAGAUAAUUGCUAAAAGAACAAGAAACAAAACCAGAACUAGAAAUUAUCUUCUUCUUUUCUGUUCUAGGCUCAAGAGAAAGGAAGCUUGAACUACAGUAAGGUAGGUAGAGUGCACUUCCCAGUCUGAUCACUGUUUAUAGUCUCAAGGUCAAAAAGGAAACAUGGCUGCUCAUGGUGGGUGGCACAGACUUCUAUCCCCAGCACCUUGGAAGUAAGAGCUAUCAGGUCUCUGUAGGUUUAGGCCACCCUGAUCUACAAAGAAACUGAUCUGGCCAAAGCUACAUAGUGAGACUCUCUCUCAGUAAAUAGAUAAAU